rnacentral:rRNA from 1 species
AAGGUGGGGACGACGUCAAGUCAUCAUGGCCCUUACGAGUAGGGCUACACACGUGCUACAAUGGCGCAUACAGAGGGCGGCCAACUUGCGAAAGUGAGCGAAUCCCAAAAAGUGCGUCGUAGUCCGGAUUGGAGUCUGCAACUCGACUCCAUGAAGUCGGAAUCGCUAGUAAUCGUGGAUCAGAAUGCCACGGUGAAUACGUUCCCGGGCCUUGUACACACCGCCCGUCACACCAUGGGAGUGGGCUGCAAAAGAAGUGGGUAGUUUAACCUUCGGGAGGACGCUCACCACUUUGUGGUUCAUGACUGGGGUGAAGUCGUAACAAGGUAGCGCUAGGGGAACCUGGCGC